rnacentral:ncRNA from 1 species
AAUUAGUUUGAUUCUGAUUAUUUUAUUAAUUUUUUGGAAAAUAUACAUGUAAGUUUUUGUAUAAUAAAAUUUUAUAGAUUAUUUAUUUAUUGCAGUAUUUUAUAUUAAAUAUUAAAUUAUUUUAGAUUUGGUUAUUCAUUAUAAUAUUGUAAAUGUUUGUGCCAGCAUACGCGGUUAUACAAUAAAUAUUAAUUAAUAUUUUUGGUUUAUGGAGUUAAAUUUGUUAUUGAAAUUAAUUUAUUUGUUUUUAGGUGAAAUUUAAAUUUUUAUUAAUUUUAUUUUGGUUCUUUGAAGUGUAUUUUUUAAACUAGGAUUAGAUACCCUAUUAUAUUACAUAUAAAAAUUUAAUCAGGGUAGUAUUAGUUAUGUUCUUUAAACCUAAAGAAUUUGGCGGUGUUUUAUUCUAUUCAGAGGAAUUUGUCCCUUAAUCGAUAGUCCCCGAUGUAUCUUUCUUAUUUUUGUUUAUCAGUAUGUAUACCGCCGUUAUAAGUUUAUUUUAUUAGAAUAAAAAUUUACUUAAUUCUUAUUUUUGAAUUAUUUCAGGUCAAGGUGCAGUUUAUAGAUAAGUGGUGGUGAAUUACAAUAUUAUUUGAAUAUAUGGAUUUUGUUAAUUAAAAUUUUAAUGAAGGUGGAUUUGAUUGUAAUUUUAAUUAUAAUGUUAUUUUGAUUAAGCUCUAAAAUAAGUACAUAUUGCCCGUCACUCUCAAUUUAUUUGAGAUAAGUCGUAACAUAGUAGAUGUAUUGGAAAAUGUGUCUAGUAAGAA